GACGAACGCUGGCGGCGUGCUUAACACAUGCAAGUCGAACGGAAAGGCCCUGCCUUUGUGGGGUGCUCGAGUGGCGAACGGGUGAGUAACACGUGAGUAACCUGCCCUUCACUUUGGGAUAACUUCAGGAAACUGGGGCUAAUACCGGAUAGGAGCACCUGUUGCAUGGUGGGGGUUGGAAAGUUUCGGCGGUUGGGGAUGGGCUGGCGGCUUAUCAGCUUGUUGGUGGGGUAGUGGCUUACCAAGGCUUUGACGGGUAGCCGGCCUGAGAGGGUGACCGGCCACAUUGGGACUGAGAUACGGCCCAGACUCCUACGGGAGGCAGCAGUGGGGAAUAUUGCACAAUGGGCGGAAGCCUGAUGCAGCAACGCCGCGUGCGGGAUGACGGCCUUCGGGUUGUAAACCGCUUUCGCCUGUGACGAAGCGUGAGUGACGGUAAUUGGUAAAGAAGCACCGGCUAACUACGUG
rnacentral:rRNA from 1 species